GUCGUAACAAGGUCUCCGUAGGUGAACCUGCGGAGGGAUCAUUACACAAAUAUGAAGGCGGGCUGGAACCUCUCGGGGUUACAGCCUUGCUGAAUUAUUCACCCUUGUCUUUUGCGUACUUCUUGUUUCCUUGGUGGGUUCGCCCACCACUAGGACAAACAUAAACCUUUUGUAAUUGCAAUCAGCGUCAGUAACAAAUUAAUAAUUACAACUUUCAACAACGGAUCUCUUGGUUCUGGCAUCGAUGAAGAACGCAGCGAAAUGCGAUAAGUAGUGUGAAUUGCAGAAUUCAGUGAAUCAUCGAAUCUUUGAACGCACAUUGCGCCCUUUGGUAUUCCAAAGGGCAUGCCUGUUCGAGCGUCAUUUGUACCCUCAAGCUUUGUUUGGUGUUGGGCGUCUUGUCUCUAGCUUUGCUGGAGACUCGCCUUAAAGUAAUUGGCAGCCGGCCUACUGGUUUCGGAGCGCAGCACAAGUCGCACUCUCUAUCAGCAAAGGUCUAGCAUCCAUUAAGCCUUUUUUUCAACUUUUGACCUCGGAUCAGGUAGGGAUACCCGCUGAACUUAAGCAUAUCA
rnacentral:rRNA from 1 species